GCUUAACUCAGUUGGUUAGAGUGUGGUGCUGAUGACAUCAAGAUUGCAGGUUCGAUCUCCAUGUGGGAAGGCUGCA